AAGGCUUUCUCCUUAGCUUGAAUGAAUACGUAAUUUUCAGAGAAUCUGAAGUACAGUAUAGGUUAAGAACUAAUUUACAUACAUAAAAUCUGAAAUGCUCCAAAAUCCAAAACUUUUUGACUAUCCACCUGAUGUUGUACAUGAAAAACCCCACACCCGACCUCAAGCAAUGAUUCAUAGCCCAAAAUGCAAACACACAAAAAAAUUGUAUAAAAUUACCUUCAGACUGUAUGUACAAGGUAUACAUGAAACAUAAAUGAAUUUUGUAUUUAGACUUGGAUCCUGUCUCCAACACAUCUUAUUAUAUAUGUACAGAUAUUCCAAAUUCUGAAGUCUGAAUCACUUCCAACAUUAAGCAUUUCAGACAAGGAAUGUUCAACCUGUAAUCACAGGAAGAGCCUGGGAAUGAUAGAUGGCCUUGUUCUCACCUUUGCUACUCAGUCAGGUCUUAUGAGCUGUCAUCCCCCGUUGUCUUUGAGGCUCUCUCCCUUGAUGCUAGACUUUACACUAAGGUAAGGCGAAGGCAGGUAGCAGACCUCCCUCAAUUACAGAAGGUCUUUUUUAAAGGUAGUAUUUCUCUGUGUGGUUUUAUCCUGCACAGUCUCAGCACUUGUCAAUCACAGAUGCCUGCAUCAUUACCCAGUAGACAUUUCUUUUGAGGUUGGGCUUCACAGUCCCUUUUAGCCUGGUGCUGUUCAUGGAUAAAGCAGUUCAUUGAGGUAAGAGGAUUCUGCAGGGGCCAUCUCCAUAUAGUAGUCCAGCUUUUCCUGCAACUUCUCUGAGCAGAAUUACAAUGUUAUUUAUGGUUUCAAUGUUGUAGCCUUUCAACUGCUUACAAGGAUGAUGAUGAGUAAUUCUGUUUUUAGGAUGGGGGCAGUUGAGAGAAGUCCC
rnacentral:lncRNA from 1 species